CCUGGGGGAACCCGCGGACGGGAAGGCGACAAAGUAGAGAAGUUCAUAAGACGUAGAGGCUCCAGACGGAGGGGCACCAGCUAAGCAAAGAAGGGAAGAGAGGGAAAGAUAAGGGUAGCAAAGGGAGAAGGAAAAAAACAAGAAGGGGAUAGCCAAGAGUAAAAAGAGAGAAUAAGAAAGGAGGGAAAGGAAUGGGAAAGGAGUAAGGAAGUCAAGUAUGAAGGAGACAAAGAGAAUCAGACAGGAAAACAGGAAAAGGGACAGGGGUUCACAGCUAAGGAUAAGACAAGGAGAAACAAACCUAACUUGGCACCCACGCUAAAGGCGGGAGUUAAAGACGGUACAAACCACCUCCACCCCAGCCAGAUCAACAGGGGCAUACCCCACUGCCACCAAAGAUCUGAGAACUGAACGCGCAAAGCACACACAACACCCGGUUUCCCCCCCCGUACGGUCGGUCAACACACACCACCUGCCUAGACACAAGACACCAACCACCUUUGUCACACUGGGUGAUAUACCAUAGCCACAACAACCGUACGAGAGAGGGAAAACCCCAUCCACACAAAGGUGUAUAGGACCCAAGAGCCCAACUAGUAUACGUCUUUGAUCUGUUAGAUGACGUGCAUGUCACUAUGUUGUUCACAAUGAUUAUCUCAUGUCUGAGACAUGGAUUGGGAAAGCCUUUUUCGGACCUGCGUGUCCGCGACAAUGUUUUUCCUUUUUC